rnacentral:rRNA from 1 species
AGAGUUUGAUCCUGGCUCAGAACGAACGCUGGCGGCGUGCUUAACACAUGCAAGUCGAGUGCGCGUCCGUAGCAAUACGGAUGGCGCACGGCGCACGGGUGCGUAACACGUGGGCAAUCUGCCCUUCGAUGGGGAAUAACUCCGGGAAACCGAAGCUAAUUCCGCAUAACAUUCCUUGGACCUCGGUUCGGGGACUCAAAGCCGUAAGGCGUCGAAGGAGGAGCCCGCGCCCGAUUAGCUAGUUGGUGAGGUAACGGCUCACCAAGGCAAUGAUCGGUAGCUGGUCUGAGAGGAUGGCCAGCCACACUGGAACUGAGACACGGUCCAGACUCCUACGGGAGGCAGCAGUGGGGAAUCUUGCGCAAUGGGCGAAAGCCUGACGCAGCGACGCCGCGUGGGGGAUGAAGCAUCUCGGUGUGUAAACCCCUUUCGACUGGGACGAAUGCCUCGCAAGAGGAGUGACGGUACCAGUAGAAGAAGCCCCGGCUAACUACGUGCCAGCAGCCGCGGUAAGACGUAGGGGGCCAGCGUUGUUCGGAAUUACUGGGUGUAAAGGGUUCGUAGGCGGUGUGGCAAGUCGGGAGUGAAAUCUAUGGGCUUAACCCAUAGGCUGCUUCCGAAACUGCCGUGCUUGAGUGUGGGAGAGGCGCGUGGAAUUGCAGGUGUAGCGGUGAAAUGCGUAGAUAUCUGCAGGAACACCCGUGGCGAAAGCGGCGCGCUGGACCACUACUGACGCUGAGGAACGAAAGCUAGGGGAGCAAACAGGAUUAGAUACCCCUGUAGUCC